AUCAAUGUAAGAGUAGUGAUGACUGAUGCUUGCAUUUUUGAGAUACCAAGAGAUCUAUGUAAUAUAAAUUUGAUGGCAUUGGUCUUCAGAAUACUACGACAUGUAGUGUUUUCAUGCCUUUAGCCUCUAUGCAUGCUUAACUUAUGCUGCAACAAGAAUUUUCUUAGAGAUCGGUUGAUUGGUUAAUGAAUGUCAUGGCCUGUCUUAGAUGUAAAACAAAAUUACAAGCCCAUGUAAAUAGUAUGCUUGCCACAAGAUUAAUGUGACUUUUUGUUAUAAAAUCCAUCACUAAAGAUGUCUGGUAGAGAAUGUACUUGAUAUCAUUUCAACUAGAUUUUGGGAGAGUGAUAGUGAUAUAUACCCUUAAGAUAUUCGAGAAAACUAAUAGUGUCAUAUGGAUAGUGAGCCUGCUGAUUUUAAGUUGAUAGAAAAAAGCAUCCUAGAAGGUGAGGCCCUUUGGAGCCCUUCGGCUUCUGCAAAUACAAUAAAGGGGAUUGCAUCGACUUCAGGGACCAAAGUGCACUUUGGCCUCAAGUUAAUGAAUAGCUGGGGAUGGAAAGUUGGAAACAAGGCAGUGGACUAGGGAAGGAUGAGCAGGGCAUCCUAGAACCGUGGAAGAUACCAGAAAAGGCUGGGAGUAGUUGUGAGGACAGCAAGAUGGCAGGUAAAACGGAAGAUAAAGGUGCAAGGAAAAGUGAAGACAAAGUUCCUGAGAAAGCUGAAGUCAAAGCUGCACAGAAAAUAGAAGAUGAUAAUCAAUGAAGUGUAAUUGAUACAUGUGAUUGGAAAUUGAAGUUCUUUUAAUCAAUAUAUUCUUUUCUUUCUCUUUUCAUUCUUAGCAAUUGAAAUUUUUGCAAGUGCAAAUUACACAAGUACAGUUCUGUUUUAUAGAAUCCGCGGUUUUGCUAUACCAGGAAAAUAGCAUCAGCAAAAAGCUGGUAAUCUACCAUUCCAUCUCAAUUAUGUAAUGCCGUGACCAUGAUGUUAAAUACAAAAUAAUAGAAGGCAGGCAUGGUUUUACAGACACCAUUUCCCCUACUGAUCAUAGAUGCAUAUAUGAUAGAAUAGUGUAUAUAUCCGGAGAAGUAUAGGAAUAUUAUAAUAACAAACCUGUAAGAGCUGGUUCAAAAUAAGUGAUCCCACAAAUUGGGAAAGAUCAUUGCCAAUCUACAAAACAACAUAAAGGACUAUGUCACACGAGUUUAAUUUUUACAUAAUAGACUGUAUCUAGGAACGGAUUUACAAAAUGAGGAAUUGAAUGACAAAAUCCCUCUCAAGCAAAUAGAGAAAUGUCCCUGCAUUUCUAAAGUUGAUAAAACAUACCAAACUGAAAGAACUGUCUUCCCAGAAAGGCUUCACUACAGUAUUUCAAAAUCUGGCAAACUUUUGUCUACAUCUUAGUCAAGGACGUAGAAACUGAACUGUGGCCAUCAAAAUCUUUUCUCGGUUUAAUUAAGAUAUUAUAAAUCAAGUCAUGAAACUCACCGAGUAACGUGGAGAAAUUAGGAGAAAUUUUUCAAUCCUCCGGGAGGACCACGUGGCAUACUAAUAUGGUCAUCCUUACUAAAAAAAAACUGACACGUGGAUUUUUUCAAUUAAAACAUAAAUUAGACAAUUCUAUUAUUUUGUGAAAUAACAUUUAGGAUCUUCUUUUUCGUUCCAUCUCUUGAUAUUAUCUCUUCUCUCUCUUUUCCUAUUUCUCUUGACGUGCUCGUUUCUGAGCGCACAAUUUAAAAACCUUUUUUUAUCAGAAUGUAGUAUUGGCAAAAUAGGGUUCGAUCAAUCCGGGGACUUAAAGGGCACUCUUGUAGUCACGGUUACACUAAAUAGUUAGCAACUAUAAGUAUUUACAAGUAUUCAUUUACAAAUAUAUAUACAUAUGGUACAAGGUAAACAUGGGGGGUUUUGAGAGUUUGGUUCUAACAUUCCUACUAAAAGAUAAAGAUAAAAACUAAACUAAUAUAUACAAGUGAUCAUCUUUAACACACAUCAACCAGCAAUUCCAGAAUCAAACAAACAAGUAUCAACAUGUCUCAAACAUUUAAUCGAUUUCAUUGCCAAGCGAUAUCAAAAAUAAACUCGAAACACAAGCCUACGAGGUCAUGCAUUCAUUUAAUCCUACUUAGUUUAUGUCCCAGCACAGAACGUCUAGAACUGAGAAUAUUUCAUGCGAAGGCUGCAAUCGAUACUCAGAGUACCCGUCUACACUAAACAUGAAUCAUUAAGAUCUAAAGAAUUCUGAGUUUGAACAUGCCCAAGUCACAAGCGUUGCCCAACCUGUAAGCAUGUAACACAUAGUCUCGGCUAUUAUUACAUAACCUUUACUACUUGGAUCUCUGCCUAAAACUAUUAGGUGAAUUAGUUCAGAGACCUAGCAACACUAACAUGAAGAUUAGAGUUUUAGUUUUCAAACAAAACUAUGCAUUUAAUGAAAUCAACAAGGCAUAAAACGAAUCAUAUGCUAUCAUCGACAAGUUGAAAUAUGCUUGAAUUUAUUCUGAAAAUUAACCUAUUCAUGUUCUUAACAACCAGCCAAUUCCAACUUUGAAAUCUAAUAAAAGAAAACAAAGAGCAAUAACAAGAAAGAAGAAACAAGACAUGAGUUACACUUUAUAAAUCUUCAAGAAAGCUUGAAAUAUUCAAAGGAACACACAGGGCUGAUGCUUCUUGGCAGCCUUCUGGAGAAGUCCUACAAAGGUGCCAGCUUGAAUUGCUUCUUUUCUAGAGAGAGGAGUUGAAAAGGAGAAGGAAGGCUAAUGUGUUUCAUUAAUUUUUGUGUGAAGAAGAGAUCGUUUGAGAAGUACCCAAGGUUGUCUAUAUAUAAAGGAAAUCUUGGUGGAACUUCUCUUCAAAAAUGAUGUGAGACUAGGAGAAAUGUUUGACUUUUCUUCUUUAGGAGCACAUGUUUGACUUUUCUCAUUCUUUGGACAGCUUGGGCCUUCUUUUGGGCUAUCUUCUUCGGUCCUUGGACUGCAAGAAGGCUUCACUGUCUUUUUCUGCAUUUUUCUGUUAUUUCCAUAAUUUAGCCUUCUUUUCUUGAUUUAUGCUCUCAUGUCCUUUACAAUCACAAAACAUGUUAAAAAUGACAUUAUUAUGAGAAUAUCAUAGCUAAAUAAGGUAGGAAACACAUUAUAAACAUAGCACUUUGUGCUCAUAUCAUCUCUCUCAUAUGAACAAUAGUUUGAAAGUCUUUUGCUAUCAACCCAAUAUGAAAAAGAAUUCAACUAAUUUCAGAUCAAGAGAUAUCAAAUAUAAAUUUUCCUCAUCAUUGUGCAAUCAUGAGAUUAAUUGAUCUUGUUAAUUGAGAUGUUGCUCUCCAUAAGAAGAAAAACCCAGACGAAAGGAAAGCCCAGAUUAUGCAAUCAUAUGAG
rnacentral:lncRNA from 1 species